UUCCACGUUUAUGGACAUCCAUAAUACCCUUAAAAGCAAAUUGUAGUUAACGUUGGCCGAGAACAACUUUUAUUCCAAUGUCUCUCCAUUGACAGUCACAUACGAGGGCAAUUGAACAAUUUGGAUGCAAUGGCCGAGACCAGCUUUUAUUUCAACGUCUCUCAAUUGAACGAUUUGCAUGCAACUGCCGAGAACAACUUUUAUUCCAACGUCUCUCAAUUGAACAAUCUGGAUGCAAAGGCCGAGAACAACUUUCUAACAUCUCUCAAUUGAACGAUUUGCAUGCAACUACCAAGAACAACUUUUAUUCCAACGUCUCUCAAUUGAACGAUCUGGAUGCAAUGGCCGAGAAUAACUUUCCAACAUCUCUCAAUUGAACGAUUUGGAUGAAAUGGCCAUUUGAUUUCUUCUUUUUACCGUUGAUUUCAUUAAUAUUUAUACAGGUACCAUCUGAUCAUUUUCAUCUGUAUUCUUUGGUUUUCCUUUUCCUGUGAUUUUAGGUUUUCUCUUUCUUAUUUCCUUUGGCAUGGCCAUGCCUCUUCAUUUUUCCUUGUGCUUGUGAGGCUUCUUGUGUUGUGUGUUUCUUAGCUGCAUUUUGUUUGUGUUUCAUAUCUGCAUUUUGUGUGUGUUGUGUGUUUUAUAUCUGCAUUUUAUUUGAGGUUGAGGAGGAUGUGGCGAGUAGGGGAAGGGCAAGAGCACUCAGCUAUUUGCAACACGAUGCAGGCCAUCAAAAUUAUUUUGGGUUGAAAGAAUUUGCUCAAGGGAAGCAGGUGGAUGGCUGAGGAAAUCCGUAUGAAGAAUUUGAUCUUUCCAUCAAAGUUCAAAGAUAUUAUAAAUUAACUUGCUUCUAGAUGGUGAUUUUGAAAGUAACUUAAGCUGAAAGCUUUUGUUUGAUGGUUCAUAUUUGUGUCACCUUGGAUGUUUGAUAGAAAUGUUAAAUAAUGAUGGAGUCAAACAGGUUUUACAAUGGUAAGAUUUGGUACAACAUUGGCGACCGCACUAAGAAUAUUUCCAAUUACAAGCAACAAAAUUACAAAUUACAUUAUUGUUUUGGAAAUCGCUGGAAAUGGAAUUUCAAAAUUCGAGUCUAUUA